rnacentral:rRNA from 1 species
AGACGUCUACAUUAGAUACCCGCGUAGUCCCAGCCGUAAACUAUGCGCGUUAGGUGUAUCGGUGACCACGAGUUACCGAGGUGCCGAAGGGAAACCGUGAAACGUGCCGCCUGGGAAGUACGGUCGCAAGGCUGAAACUUAAAGGAAUUGGCGGGGAGCACCACAACGGGUGGAGCCUGCGGUUUAAUUGGACUCAACGCCGGGAAGCUCACCGGAUAAGACAGCAGAAUGAUUGCCGGGCUGAAGACUCUGCAUGACUAGCUG